CCAUGGUUUUAAAAUAACUGAACAAUGAUUUUCAAUUUAACAAUAAACUUUAUCGUAGUUUCAAAAUAUCUCUCAACCGCAUUUUAUUAUGAAAUCACUUUAAUUUUUAAAAUCACCAUAAAAUAUAUCGUAAAUUCAAAAUAUUUCAUAGUUACCGAAAAUGACAGAAGCAUGGUAUCACGAUAGUUUUCUUGUAAUUAUCAUAGUUACAGUGUACUUCAUGGUAAAAUGUAAAUCCAAACGUAGUUAAUCUUUUGCUGUUUCUACACAUUUACAAUUAACCGUGUAGAAGCCUUAAGCCAAAUUUGUUUACGCGCGUAUUUUUGUCUCCGGAAGAUUUCGUCGUGAUCUGUUUUUUAAUGCAGAAUAACUUUAUCCGGACAAAUUCGGGAUUUUUCGGCAGAUAUGACGAAUCGGAACGCGAUGGGCCCAUCUGCAGUGGUGAUGAAGACGACGUAGUUCCGCAGUUCCAAAUUCCGGCGAGGGCACCUUACAUUGCCUGAAUUGAACUGAUUGAUGCCGGAGGUCUACGGGAUGGGAGUGCUAGUGCGAGUCAUAGGCCUUCUGUGAUCAUUGAGUGAGUAAGUGUUAUAAAUAAGUAAUGUGUCAAAUAAAAAAUUUAGUCAAAUUA